GGACGAACGCUGGCGGCGUGCCUAAUACAUGCAAGUAGAACGCACAGUUUAUACCGUAGCUUGCUACACCAUAGACUGUGAGUUGCGAACGGGUGAGUAACGCGUAGGUAACCUGCCUGGUAGCGGGGGAUAACUAUUGGAAACGAUAGCUAAUACCGCAUAAUAUUAAUUAUUGCAUGAUAAUUAAUUGAAAGGUGCAAUUGCACCACUACCAGAUGGACCUGCGUUGUAUUAGCUAGUAGGUGAGGUAACGGCUCACCUAGGCGACGAUACAUAGCCGACCUGAGAGGGUGAUCGGCCACACUGGGACUGAGACACGGCCCAGACUCCUACGGGAGGCAGCAGUAGGGAAUCUUCGGCAAUGGACGAAAGUCUGACCGAGCAACGCCGCGUGAGUGAAGAAGGUUUUCGGAUCGUAAAGCUCUGUUGUAAGAGAAGAACGGGUGUGAGAGUGGAAAGUUCACACUGUGACGGUAUCUUACCAGAAAGGGACGGCUAACUACGUG
rnacentral:rRNA from 1 species